rnacentral:rRNA from 1 species
UACAGAGGUCUCAAGCGUUGUUCGGAUUCAUUGGGCGUAAAAGGGGCGCGUAGGCUGCGGGGCAAGUCGGGUGUGAAAUCUCAGAGCUCAACUCUGAAACUGCACUCGAUACUGCUUUGCUUGAGGACUGGAGAGGAGAUUGGAAUUCACGGUGUAGCAGUGAAAUGCGUAGAUAUCGUGAGGAAGACCAGGUGGCGAAGGCGGAUCUCUGGACAGUUCCUGACGCUGAGGCGCGAA